GAUGAACGCUGGCGGCGUGCCUAAUACAUGCAAGUCGAGCGAACGGACGAUAAGUUUUUUUCUGUGAUGUUAGCGGCGCACGGGUGUGUAACACGUGGAUACCCUCCCUAUAAGACUGGGAUAAUUUCGGGAAACCGGAGCUAAUACCGGAUAAUAUCUUGCACCGUAUGGUUCAAUAGUGAAUGACGGUCUUGCUGUCUCUUAUAGAUGGAUCUGCGCUGCAUUAGCUAGUUGGUAAGGUAACGGCUUACCACGGCAACGAUGCAUAGCCGACCGAAGAGGGGGAUCGGCCACACUGGAGCUGAGACACGGUCCAGAGGACUACGGGAGGCAGCAGUAGGGAAUCUUCCGCAAUGGGCGAAAGCCUGACGGAGCGACGCCGCGUGAGUGAUGAAGAUCUGCGGAGCGUGAAACUCUGUUAUUAGGGAAGAACAGAUGUGGAAGUAACUGUGGACAUCGUGACGGUACCUAGUCAGAAAGCCACGGCUAACUACGUG
rnacentral:rRNA from 1 species